rnacentral:lncRNA from 1 species
AAGCAUCUUCAAUAGUCAAGGAGGACAAAGACAUCUUUCCUGCAGGUGGUGACCAUGUGGAUAAUAGGAUCAUAGACAAAUGGUGGUUCCAUCUACAGCAUCACCGAAAUGCUGUUGUUACUGCUUCUUUCUGGGAUCUUCUUGCAUCUUUGCUUCUAAAGGGGCACACCUUUUAUAGAAGCUUGGCAACUAGUUCAUUGAAACAGAGCCAACAAGAAUGAGUGAGUCACUCAGUGAUAUGAAGCAAGCUGUGGUCAUUUAUCUACUACCUUCCAUACCUACUUCCUAGGUUUGAUAAGUAGUGUUUGUAGUGUAGUUGUCAGUAACUUUUCUCAGCUUACAUAAGUUUAUGUGGAAUUCAUUUACAAAUGUGUGAUUAUUACGAUAGAUGUUAUUUUAUAAAUUUCAAGGUUCUUUAAUACAGCAUGGACAUGUUUCUAAAUCAAUAAAUAUAGCUUACCCACAGACUUUUUAUGGGAUGUAAAGUAUGUAUUACAACAGGUAAAUCCAUUUCUCUGUUUUGGGAAAGCAGGUUAAUGUUUUGUUUGUUUUGUUGCUGCAUAUAAUGUUGCACUAUAUAUAUAUUCUAAUGCAGUUGGUCUCCUAAUUCUACAGGAUAAAUGUCUAGCUGUGGCAUUGUUGGAUCAUCAGUUUCGUUUCAGUUAGAUGCUGUGAAAUUGCUCUUGAAAAUGGUGUCCUCUGCCACCACAGAACGGUGUUGUAAUGGAAGUGCCAAUUUUCAUAAAAACUUGUGUGCAACAGGUAUUAAGAAUUUUUGAGGUCGGGCGCAGUAGCUCACGCCUGUAAUCCCAGCACUUUGGGAGGCCUAGGCAGGUGGAUCACCUGAGGUCAGGAGUUCCAGACCAGCCUGACCAACAUGGUGAAAUCCCAUCUCCACUAAAUACAAAAAAUUAGCUGGGCGUGGUGGCAUAUACCUGUAAUCCCAGCUACUUGGGAGGCUAAGACAGGAGAAUUGCUUGAACCCAGGAGGCGGAGGUUGCAGUGAGCCGAGAUUGCACCACUACACUCCAGCCUGGGUGAUGAGCGAAACUCCAUCUCAAAAAAAAAAAAAAGCUUUAAAUUUUUAGCCAAUCUAAUAGGUGAAAAUGGCAUUUUUAACAUAAGUCUGACUUAAACAAUUAAUGGCCGUGGCUAAAAGAAGAAUCAAAUAAUGAUGUGUGAUUUAUAAGAUAAGGAGGCAGUACCCCAUUUUUCCUCACUCUACCCAAAAAUCCUGUUUAUCUGAGCAAGAAAUCAUUAAUAUUUUCUAAAUCCGCUUGGAAGUUCAUAAACGCCCUAAGUAUACCUUAUACCAGCGUUUUUAUGACUUUGUAUUUUUGAAAUAAUUUUAGAUUCAGAAUCGCAAGAAUCAUGCAGAGCGACCUGAUUUACGCUUCACCUAGAUUGACUUUUUAUUCUGCAUCGUUGUGUUCUUCCCCCACUUCCUCUUCUUGCUCUCGCCUCCCUUUAUAUGUUUAUACAUAGCAUUAUCAUUUUAUGUACUAUUUGAAUGAUUUGCCGACAUUAUCUUCCUGUAACCCAAAACACUUCAACAUCUACUUUCUAAGAGCCUGAGCAUCUUAUAUUGACUUCGGUAAAAAUUUCAAAAUAAUGAAAUGUGUCAAUAGUAUAAAAGUAUAACAGUAUGCAGUCCAUAUUCACAUUUUACCCAUUUUUCCAGAGGUGUUCUUUAUAGCAGUUUCUUCCCUUCUACAACAUCCAGAAAAGGAUCUUCUAUUGCAUUCAAUUAUCAUGUCUCUUUAGUUUUGUUUAAUCUGAAACAGUUUCCUGGACUUUGAUCACAUCAGUGUUCUUAAAAAGUAAUAGCUAACAGAUUUAAGGAGAUACCUCAGAUUUUGAAUUUUGUGUUUCCUCAUGAAAAGGUUUAAGAUACUCAUUUUGAGCAGAAAUAAUUCAGUAUUCUCAGUCUUCCUUAGUGAAUCAUCUCAGGUGACAAAUAAUGUCACUUUGUCUCACUUUGAAUUACUUUGAUCUCUUGGUUCGAUUGGUGUCCACUGGACUUUUCCACUAUAGUUAACAUUCCUUCAUAAUUAAUUUGGAACUAUACAGGUAUUCUAUUUUUCAUCAAACUUCCACAUAGUAGGUUUAAUAUGCACAGGUGACUUUUACCUGAAUCAGUGUUGAUUAGAAAAAAAUCUGUUAUUGCUUAGAUGCAUUAUUUAGUAUCUUGUACUGUAAGGAAGAGUUUGUAUAUCAUGGCCUGUCAGAACAGUCCCGCAAUGUGUUUUAUGAACUGAAAAUUCUGAAAGAAUAAGGUAGUGAUUUAUAUGAGAAUACAGGGAAAGGGUUACCCAAAGAGUCUAAUGAAUUUAUGUCUAAACCAUAGAGUGGAAUGUGAGAGACACACAGAACUCCAGAGUUGUGAUGCAAAUACACUGCACAGUGGAAGGAGAAGAGGAAGUUUUUGGUAAUAGUGUUUCAUCUAAUGUAGCUCUGUAAUGUAUGUGUGCCUUCAUUAUUGGAAGAGUGUUCAACAGUUCACAGUUGAAUAGACUGAAGCAUGAUGCUGGAAUCUGGGUUCAGAUUCUAGAUCCGUAUCCUACAUAUCACCAAUGCUUGUUUCUCAAUUUUUGUUUGUCAUUACUUUAAGUCUCUUUAAUGCAUUAGAGUAUCCAAGGUUGACAGUGAAGGGACUGCAUUUGGGAGCUAUCUGAAGACAAAAACAGCUUUUUGAAGUUUCUUUCAUACGUCACCUUACAUGGCCUCUCGCAUUCUCUGUGGAGAAGUUUGUGUAGAUUAUUCAGACUACCGUGCAGUGACUGUGUUGUUUAAAACCUAUACAUAUCCAAACUCUGUUUUGUGUUCUCUAUAACUAGGGCAUUAGUCUCCCAAUAGUAAUCCUGCAUCUUAUGCUAUUUAAAGAAGGUUCCCAGAAUACAGACAUUCUUACUUUUGAACAAUGACUUGGGUAGAUUGAGGAAGUGGUUUUAAUAAUCACUUUGAUAUAUUUCAAAAUCUGGUUCAUUAUUGGUGAGGUGCAGGCCACCUGGUAUUAAUGAAAAUGUGUAAUUAGGAACCAGUGCAGUGGAAUCAGAGGCUUGAACAUGACCUAAGGCUUGGUCAAAAGUGGUGAUCUGAAUGUUCCCUGCUCUCUGUAUGUAACUUUGUACUUAGUCUUCAGUGGCAGGGUUGCAGCAGAGGCCCAGUAAAUAUUGUUCAUUCAACGUAUGAAGGAGAAAAUGGAAGUAAGGCCAAAAAUUACUGAUUGUAAACAAAUGAAGCACCAAGUGAAUAAAUGUACAAAUAGACAAGUAGCCAGUAGGAAAAAAAACAAUAAUUGUUACCUAAAGAAUGAAAACCAAGUGGAAAAGGCCGCCAGGGACAUUUUAAUAUGCAUAUUGUUGCUUUCACAUAUAAUACAGUAAGGGAGUAUCAGAAAACCUGAAUCUGCCUGACUAAAACAUACCCUGUUCCACAAAGCUAUAUAUAUGAGAGUAUUGAAGGUGGUUUAAUACCAAAUUCAAAAAUUCAGCCUCAGUGUAGCAAACUUUUAAAUUUUCCAUGAUAUAAAGUAAGUUUUAACCAACAAUGGAAGUCACAGCACUAAAGUACAUUACUAUUAUAUGAUUCUCUGAUGGUAAUAGAAACUGUGCUGCAGGACACGUUUUGAUUCAGGAAGAAAUGUGGAGUAACUCCACAGAGGAAUUCAUCCUUUCUAAGUUUAAAUCUGAACGGAACCCAUAUGCCCAUACCCUGAAGAUGCAUGUAAGGGAACAACAUGGCUUGGUCUGUUGAAAAAAGAAAAGAACCUUCAAUUAAGCAUUCUGUGAACUUGAUAAGAGGAUGCAGAGGAACGUAAAUGCACUCUGCAUAUCUGUGAUUGACCUUGGAACACAGUGAUUGCCCUCUAAAGAAUAGCCGAGUAAGUACUGUUAUCAUUCCACCGAUCAAAUUAGAGCCUCUUCCUUCCAGUGGGAGCAGAGUGACAUAGACCAAGGAAAGCCGAGGAGAAGAUUGUAGCCUUUUAUUUCUCCUUAUAUUUGUUGAGGUUCACUGCUGACUGAUAAACGAUUUGCACAAAAAAAUUCAGGCCUCUGACUCUUCUGGUAUUUGAUUUAUCUAGUAAAGUUAAUUCCAAGACAAAAGUACAGUUGGUUAAAAAUACCAGUCUCAUGUUUAUUUGAUGGUUUGAAAUAUUCUGUUACAUUGUUGUAUCUCGUUUGUCACCUUGGAAUAUAUGACAAUCAUGUUAUCUUGAUUUUUUCCACAAGAUAAUUUGAUUCUAAAAUCGAUUCAUUGUUUAUCUUCAGGAAUUAGAGAUUUUAAAAAUGUCAUCUCAUGUCUCAUUCAGUCAUUUCCAAGAUUUAGCGAGUGUUCUCCCUAAUGCCUUGGAUAAGAAUGCCUUGUUCAAUGGCUGUAUUUUACUCAUAAUUAGCAUUCCAACUGCUUUGGGUUUUUUUAGAUUUACAAUUUUUAUUUCUGCAGUACUUAACUUUCUAUAUUUUAUGUAUAUUAAAACAAGUUAGGUAGGAUGAAGAUCACUGGAUGAUAUAAAUACUAAUAGCAAAAGUAGAAAUAAGUUGUAUUAUAUAAGUUGUACAUAGGUGUUACAUUAGGUUGUCUUACAUGAAAGUAUUACAAAGUAUGGGAUUUGGGGUGUAUUUUGAAAUCCUUGCCAGUUCUACUUGAUAAAGUAUUGAAUGGUAUCAUGUGAGAGGAGAAGAGGACGGAAACAGGACUUAUGAUUUAGACCUCAACAACUGCUAGGGAGGGUUGGUUUUCUCUGAGUGCAUGAUUUUUUAUAAAAAUGCUAUUUUGCCAGUUUUAGAUCCAUAUUAAACCCACAGAUUAAGGUUUUGGUUUUUAAAGUGUAAAUAGGAAGCUUGAGCUGGGGGGGAAUUUGGAGGUAGAGAUAAUACUUAAUCGCUGUGGGAAAGGAUGAGAUCUAGAGAUAGAGUGUAUGUGGGAGUAGGAACAUAUGUGUCUGAGACCAUGCUUUGGAUGCUCUAGCAUUUAGAUAUUGAGAAAAUGAGGAAGACCCAUUAAAGGAGAUUGUGGCUAGAGUUACUGGUGAAAACCAAAGGGUUGUAGUGUUCCUGAAGAUACAUGAAGAGUGAGAUUAAAAAUUAAUGGGGCAGCAGUGGCUUUUGCAUGGCAUUGAAAAGACACAGUUCAAUUUGAAAAUUGAGUAUCAUUAAUCGUAGUGCUCUUAUUAUUGAAAAGGCCAAAUCAAACAAUACCUUUGAGUUGAUGGUCUGUACUAUAAUUAGGUUACCAUUGUUAGCCCAGCAUAGACACAUGCUGAUACCUGUGAGUUGCUUUCAUCAAUUAGUAUGUGAAGAUGCAUCCCAGUUGUACAAUUUUAGAUCCUCUUCAUCAUUCCACAUUAUAUGUAUACAAGAUAAAACUUGAUGUUUUCAUUACAUCCUUUCAAUCUUCUAACAGCAGUCCUUACGUAGCUUUAUCAUUGGAGUUUCCACUUGCAGUGUCUCUAUCUGUACCUGCAUUCAUUGGCCACGGUAGAGUUUUCAUUACGGCAGGAUUGCAUUUCAUUGUUUUGGCUUGUGUCAGACAUUUAGCAAAGAUUGUUGAGGAAAGGAAUGGAUGGAAGGGGCCAGCUGAAAGAAAAAGUAACAACCUAAUGAUGGAUAAGUGAAAAAGGAAUGAAGAAAGGAUGGUGCUAGGAAUCGAGGGAGUAAAGCAAGAUAGAAUGUACAAAAGGUCGAAUUUUUAAAGAAAGUUGUAGGGCAAGGGCAAGGUGUGUUGAACCUACAUUUAAAAUACAAUAACAUCACUAAAGUCGAGGCCGGGUGUGGUGGCUCACCCCUGUAAUCCCAGCACUUUGGGAGGCCAAGGCAGGCAGAUUACCUGAGGUCAGAAGUUUGAGACCAUCCUGGCCAACAUGGUAAAACCCCAUCUCUACUAAAAAUACAAAAAUUAGCUGGGCGUGGUGGCGGGCGCCUGUAAUCCCAGUUACUUGGGAGGCUGAGGCAGGAGAAUCACUUGAACCUGGGAGGCGGAGGCUGCAGUGAGCCAAGAUCAUGUCACUGUACUCCAGCCUGGGCGACAAGAAUGAAACUCUGUCUCAAAAAAAAAAAAAACCCAUCACUAAAAUCAGGGAGAAAAAAACCAUCACUAAAGUCAGGGAUAAAGUACCAUUGUGGAAGGUGUUCUUUUCCAGCUUAACCUGAAGAAUUGUACAGUCAUUGUACAUUGUCAUUCCCUAACUAAUGGGUUAGAUAUGAGUCUGUAGAAAAUUGUUUGUCCAACAUACUUUAUGCCUCUUAACAUUUCACUUACCAAAUUUCAUUUCAUUCCUUCAUUUUGUGUCUAACAGACUAGAAAUAAUGAGCUCCUAUUGACAGGGAUAUUUUCCUCUUCAUACUUUCCUUUACCUUACAGAGCCUUUUAUGUAGCAGAUAUUUAAUUUCAUAAUGGGUCUAAACUACUUGUUUAGACCAUGGAUGAGUGAAAUUUUGAUGAAUGAGCCCCAAUCACCUGAAGGGUGAGUAAAAGAAGAAUUUCUAGAGACCCAAUAUGAAGUAGCUGCUUCACACUUUUUUGAGAAUGUUAUGGCAUGACUGAGGAAAUCAUAGAUGCUGUAGACCAUGUUGAGUUGGAUUGUGUAAAUAUAGAUUCUGGUAUUAGGGAACUCAGCAUCUGCUGGAUUAGACUUCUUAUGGUGAAAGUCUUUUUUUAGGGAUUAGGCAUAAAUCCCCACUGAUAUUUGUGCAGUAAUAGAGUAUAGCUCCUGUUUUCUUUCCUGCUUGUAUAGCCUGUGCCAUUAGUGUCCUCUUUCUCACUGUUUUCUCAAAGGAAAACAGUCAAAGAGGAAGCCAUAUGCAUGGUAGACUUUGUAAUCCGGGAAAAGUCAACAUAUUUCAUAGUAGUGCACUUUUUAUGUGUUGUCAGUCCUUAGAAAGGAUUCAUUUUCUCCAUAUUAUAUACUACUCUAUUUUAAAAAUUUCUUGGGGGAGAAUGGCUGUAGACAGGCCAAUGAUAGAAUCAUAGAAUAUAGUCACUGUCUAAUUACUUUCAAUCAAGAGAGGGAACAAUAAAGUACAAUGUAUGUCGCUGACUUCAGUGUGACCACUCAGUAUUUCUGUAACACAGUAUUUAUAUUGCUGUACGGUAGAGUUAUACUUAUUUCUGUGAUCCAGUUCAUUUGUUUAAUAUUGGGAUUCAAGGAGUGUUGAAGAAAUGUCUACUGAUUAAUAACAGAUGGGAAGAGUGUAUGUGUUUUAAAUAAGAGACCAAGAGAGACAAUAAGGAAAAUAAGAAGGAAGUGUUUGUGAACCUUUCACAUUACUCUUACAUUCGGGAAGUCCACAAGACACCGUAGUGGAGAUUCUGAGGAGGUGAAAACCUGUAGAAAAAUGCUUUAUUAGUAAGGAGCUGACUAAGUUGUCAGAAAGUGUUGAUUUUUAGAAGGAUAUUGAGACAUUGGGUAUAUAGGGUAUAUGACUCCUUGUCUUCCUUUCAUUCUGGCUUCUUACCAGCUGUUGUGAAUAAGUUUAAGAUUUCUUCUGACGUUAUAAACUUCAGAAAAGGUAUGGCUGUUUGUUCAGUUUGAAGUAGUAUCAUAUCCGCCAAAGCCUUGUUCAAUUGUCUUGUUGAUUCAUGGUUCUCUUCAGUGAUAAUAUUAUAUGGGAUUCCUACCCACAGCCACCCAAUAUCUCAGUGGAGAAAUGCAGGUUUGGAGAGAACAUCUGAAUAGAAUCACGCUAAGAUGGUACAUUUGCACUGAGACCAUUGUUAUGUGGCAGGCAGACAUGAAGUAUCCUAGGAUUGAUCAGUAUGCCUUAAUGUAAAUAGCUGCAUAUAGACCUGAUUUCUUAGGCUCCCCACUUCAAGCUCUUGAAUAUUGUGUUGAUAUCCUUAUCAAUACACUUUGUCUUGUGUUCUGUGUUGUUUUUCCAAAAUAUAACGAGCUCCUACUUGACAGGGAUUUUUUCUUUCUAUUGUCUUACGAUAAAAUGUCAAGAUAAAAAUGUAUGAGUUUCAUUAAAGUUUAUUGAAUAAAAUUUGUGAUGGAAUGAGUGACAGCGAGGUCAUGAAUGAGAGAGAAUAUGGAAAUAAUGGAGAAUGUGAUAUUCUGAUAGUCAUGCAAUAUUCUUUUUGAUAUAAUAUGUAACAUAUAUUAGUAUGUUAUAUUCUAUGUAUUAUUUGUCAUAUAUUAUUACUAUAUCCUGUUGCUAUAUUUGGAUAAUUUGGGAAUCUGCCAUGUUUGAUGAUGUUGAAAAGAGAACAUAAAAUGUAGUGAUUUCUUAAUAAGGUGUAGAGGUGUAGGUAUUAACUCUUUAAGAAUAUAGUGAUUUAUUUUAAAAUAAUGAUAGGAAAGGACCAUAAAAAUGUCUGAAUUUGGGAAAUUAGAAAAUGUUUUCUCUCUGGGGCUUUCAUAUGUCUGUUCUAUGUGAAUGUCGCUUUGCCAUGGCUCCCUCUUUGCUAACUCUUCUUAACCCCUGCAGAGAAGGAAGUGUAGUGAUGGUAUUUUGAGUCCAUCUUCAGGUUUAUUGGGAAUGCAAGGGAAAUGAGUUGUUACCAAUGGGAGUAAAGGGCUAGUUGCUAUGCCAGUAGCUGCUACUUUUGACACUGCUUGAGCAAUCUGAAUGGCUAGGUUUGAAUCUGGCUUCUCAGUCAGAAUUUUACCUUCACUCUAAUGCUGCUUUUUUUCAAAUCACCUAUAUUUACAUAAAUAUGAACCAACUUCAGUGAUCUUAAUUCUUUCCCGAAGAUCCAAGUUUCUUUCCAUCUGCCUGAAGAACUUUCUUUAGCACUUCUGGUAUAGCAGACCUACUGAUGAUAAUUUUUCUUUUAGUAUAUGGUGAUUAGUUUACUUUUUAUUCAACUGUGUCUUUUUUUGAAGUCUUCUUCAUUGAAAUAUAUUGUUACUAAAUAUAGAAUUAAUGGCUUUCUUUAAGCACUUCAAAGAUAAUCCACUGUUUUCUGGACUCCGUUGAUACUUAAGUCUUUAUUUUUGUGUAAUUCUUUUUCUUUAAAUGUGCCAUUUUUCAUUUUUCUCUGACUCCUACCUACUAAGAUAUUUUUACCUAAGUAUUGAGUCAGUUUUGGUUAUGAUGUGACUCAGUGUGUUUUUAUUUAUAUUGUUUGGUUGUUUGAACUUCUUGAAUCUGUAAAUGUUGUGCUUUAUGUUAAAUUUGGGGGGAUUUCAGCCAUUUAAAAUAUAACUUUUCAGUCUCUUCCCCCUGGGACUCCAAUUUUUACAUAUGUAUUAGACCUAUUAAUAUUUUUCUAUGGAUACCUGACAUUCUUUUUAAAUCUUAUUUUUGGUGUUUUUCACUUUGAACAACCUAAUAAUUUGUUUCCAUCCAUGUUCACUCACUGUUUAUUCUAUUUUUUCCCAAUCUGCUCUUAAGCCUAUCCUGUGAAUUUUCUUUUUAAUUUAUUUUAUUUUUUAGUUCCAGAUAUUUUCUGCUUUUUGUUUGUUUUUGAGACAGAAUCUUUCUCUGUCACACAGGGUGGAGUGCAGUGUCAUGGUUCACCGCAGCCUUGACCUCCUGGUCUCAAGUGAUCCUCUCACCUUAACCUACCCACUCCUAAGUAGCUAGAACUACAGGUGCAUGCCACCACGCUCAGCUAAUUUUUUAUUUUUGUAGAGAUGGGGUCGUUGUGUUGCCCAAGCUGGUCUUGAACUCCCAGACUCAAGCAGUCUUCCUGCCUCGGCCUCAUGCCCGCGCCAACCAGUUCUUUAUUUUUAAUAUUAUGUUGUAUUUGAUGUGCUAUCCUAUUCAUUUAGUAUAAGCACAUUUUUCUUUAUGUCUUCAGCAUAAUUAUAUGCUUUUUCAGAAUUUUAACAUCAGGACUGCUUCCAGGGUAGCUUUAUUGCCCUUUGUCUUAAGUAUGGAUUAUAGUUUUCAUUCUUUGUAUGUCAAGUAAUUUUGGAUUGUAACUUGAACUUUGAAUAUACUGUAGAAACUCUGAAUUCUAUUUUAUUCUUCUAAAACAAUAUUUCUCAGCUUCAGCACUACUGACAUUUUGAACUGGGUCAUUUUGUUUGUGUUGUUGUGUGUAUUUUGGGAGGGUACUGUUCUAUAUGCAUUGUGGGGUACUGAGUAUUAUCCUUUGUCUCCACUCACUACUUACCAGUAGCAUAACUCUCUCUCCUCCCCACAUCCCCUGCCAAAAAAUGCCUUCAGUCCUUUCUAAGCGCUCUUUUUUAUGGUGUUGGGGCCAAAAUCAUGCAUCUUUACUCACUCUUUCUCAUUGAGAGCUAUGGCUAUAAAGGGUAGUGAUACUUUUACUUAUUUAUUUUUAAGGCAAGCAGUUAACUUAGCUGGAUUCAAACUCCAGGCUGCCUCGUGUGCUGUGGGAAGCAGCCUACGCUCUAUUCAGUUCUUUUCUUUUCAUAUUGGUUGGGUUACUUUGAGUCUGGCCUACAUGAUGGGCAGUUUAGAGGUCAACCAAAGGAUUUCAGCAGAACUUAUACACAGAAUUUCAUUCAGGCUUCCCGUGUCUGAUUGGCUACAGUGUGGGAAUUUCCUCCCACUUUUCAGCCACUACUGAGGAUGCCUUUCGGCAAAAUUCCUUGAAAUUGGAAACUUACAGGGAAAUUCCUUUCCUCCAAGAGUGCGCUCUCCUCCAGUGUUGGCUUGCUUUUGGUUGUUCUCCGUGGUUUUAGAUAGCUGUCUUUAUAUUAAUUCUGGAGUUUACAGUUGAUAUCUGUUGGGGGCUUAGUUUGAUAACAUGUAUUCUUCUAUUACUAGUAGCCAGACCUGUAUGUCUUACUUGACCUGAUGGAGAAAAGUUUCAACUUAUGAGACAAUACUGUGCUAGCUAGUUUUACUGAUUUGUACUCUAAAGUACCCAAGCCUAAAAUAGUAGAGCUGUCUAUCCCACAUGAAACUUCUCUGAUUUUCACUGUUUUUUAUAAAAAGUAUACAUGUUCACAUUUCUGUAGGUUUUUUUAAGCAUCACAAUUUUUAUAAACUUUCUAUAUUUCCAAGGUCUACCUGCUUUGUAUUUUGCCUAGUGAGAGUUUUGUAUUCAUGUAGGAAUAAUCUCUUGGUGUGAGUAUCUAUUUUCCACUCAUCCAAAACAGAUAGAGCAUUGAUUUCACUAAGCGUUAUGUUCUAGUUUGCUUUGGUAUUAUUAUUAGAAAUACCUGGUGAUUAAUUUGAGCUAAGUAUUCUUCUCUACCCUCAUUCCCAGCAUUAUCACCCGCUUUUACCACUUCCAAGGGGUGGAAGCAUUCUCCACAAUGCAUUUUUUCAUGCCAGAGAAAAAUCUAGAAAAAAAUGAAUAAAACGAAGAAAUUCUUUCCCCUUGGUAUCUGUAGCUAACUUGCCUAAGUGUUCUUUCCCACAGUUUAAGUCUUCAGUCCAUAGUUCAUAAGCAAAGGGGUGUAGCGAGCUCUGAUCUUGCCAGAAGAGAGAAUAAGUGAGCUACCCCACGGUGGACAUUCUGGCCAUCUGAAAUGAGUCGAUGCAUGUGGCUUUUGUCUAAAGGCUACAAAUAAAAUGUAACCACUUUCUUCUUUGAGUAGUUGAUAUAGCAAAUAGUUGAAACAGAAGUUUUGAUUGGCAAAUCAGGAUGUGGUAGAUACUUUAACAAAGAGUAGAACUAUUACCAGUUUUAUGUGUUGCUGUUUGUAUCUCUUUCACAGUUUUGAUAAUAUCACAUCCUGGAAAGUGAAACAGAAAAUUAUUAUUCCAUUUUAAAUGACUAAAUUUGCUUUCAUGGUAUUUACAGUGAAAGAGUAAAUUAGAAAGUGAAUGGAUGACUGUUCAUGAGAAAAAGCAGGGUAAAAAGAUUUUAUUUAAUUAAUUGAAAAUAUUAGGGUCAAAACAUAGGCUUAUGUUAUGUUUUGUGAAUUGUGCUGUGUUGUAGACAUUUGAUGAGUCCUAACAUAGAAUUGAUCUAGCUCUUGAAAUACCAUUUUUGAUUGAGUAUAAAUGGGAUAUAGGCACCUUACAACUUCAGAAUUCGAGGAAGAUGAUGUGAAUCUUCCAAUUUUAUCUAUUUGAUUCAAAUGGUAUGUUUUUUCACAUUUCUCAUAAUUUCCACGUCAACUCCCAUGAUGAUCAUGCAGGAAAGCAGCAUGAUUGCACUUCUUGUAGUGCAUACCAUCACUAAAACAUAGUUACUGUCUUUCUGUGGUCUUAAGAAAAAUUCAGAAACAGCAUACCAAUGUACAUAUAAGAUAAAUAAGCUUAUGUGGUACAGUAAGUGUUCUGUUCUGAGAAAUACCUUGAUUCGUAUCCUAAUGUCUGAUGUUAUUGGUAGUUCUCAAACUUCCCCAAUUCUGCUUUCAUCUAAAUUCAUCUUAUCUAUCUAUUGUUAAAUAAUCUAUCAGUCCAUUUUUAUCUAUCAUCUAUAUAUCUGUCUUUAUCAAUCAUUCGUCUGUAAUCUAUCUGUGCCGUUUGGCAUAAGAGACAGAAGGGCAUAGCAGUGGAAACUCAAAGGAGUUACCUCCAUGUGAAUGGACAGUGGUGAUGGUGAUCUGUGAGGUGGUGAUGUAUAGAAAGAAAAACUAGAAGAGAGCAUGCCCUAACUCAGGGACCUUGUCCAGCAGGCACUCUGGCCUUGUUAUACUGUGCUUGAAUAUGAAAAAAAAAAAAAUCAAAAUAGUGCUGACAUUCUUUGUCUUCUGGGUCUGAGAAAACUUAGAGUAGAUAUGAUGACUCUGCCAUUUCAGUCUUUUGUAUUUCCACAUUUAGAGCUCAGUUUUAAUUAUGUAGAAUUAUUUCUCCAGCCUGUGUUAAACUAGACCAUGGAUUGGCAAACUUUUUUUGUAAAUUGCCAAAUACACAUUUUCAGUUCUGAAAGCCUUGUGGUCUUUGUUGCAGCUAAUCUACUCUGCUGUUGUGUUAUGAAAGCAGCCAUAGGUAAUUUAUAAUUGAAUGAGUGCGCUGUGCCUUUCUUCCAAUAAAACUUUACAAAAGCAUCCUGUGGGCUGGAGUUUACCCUUUGGGAAACCAGAGCAUUGGCUAAACUGGAACCUGAAAAAAUAAUCACAUCAACUCAGCCACAUGGUAAUAAUAUUUAGAGUAUUAUUUCAACAUUUUCAUUUUCAUAAAAAUUUUUUUAGCUCUUUUGCCAAAUUCCAUCUGUGAGUGAUACAAAUGACUACCACGUGCCAUUAACAUCACCUAAACAGUGCAAAACAAGCAUAGUAGAAGUAAUUGGAAUGAUAUAAACCCCUUGCUGUAAUAGUUAUAGUUGAUAAAUUAUGUUUCAAAAUUGAACCUAUUUCUUCCAAAUUUCAUCUAUAAAGUUCCAAGGAGUUCCAAAAUCUUGCCUGCCUUCUUUUCCCAGUUAGCAGUAUUGUCUCUGAGCAGCCAUGGUGGUAUCCAUCCUCCUUGGACAAUGAAUUUAGCCUAUUUUGACUUCAUUUGAGCAGUUGUAAUUGUUUCACCACAUCAGAGUAAGAUUACUACAUGCCAGAGCUAUUCUUUAACUCAGCUUGUAAAAACAUGAUAGCAUCAACAAUAUACAUAGCAAAUGAAUGCCAUCUUUAAUCCAAUUAAAUGGUUUUUACAAAUUUGCUCUUGUUUGUUGAUGCUAUCUGCAUUGCAGUAAUUAAAGGUGAGGUAAAAAGAAUGAAUAAACUGCCAAGUUAAAAUUAAAUUUGGGCAAUUUCUCUUUUGCAGUAAUGUAUGUAUAUUUACUCAAAACAUAUGCCAAAUUUAGUGUUGAAAGGCUCAUUCAAAUCAAUUGGGAAAGCACGUAAAUGAACAAUUCAUAAAAGAAAAGCAUUGCAAAUGGCCAAGAGCAUAGAAAAUGUGCUCAAUCUUACCAGUCAUUAUAAGGAAAUAAUGAAAUUUGUGUAUAUAUGAAAUACUUAAAAUAUAUAUAAAAUAAAACAAUUAUUUGCCUUUUUUCACCUAUCAGAUUAACAGAUUAUAUGUGUUAACAAGGUGGGGAGAAUUUACAACUCCUGAUAUGUUAAAAUCUUUCAGGAAGGUAGUAGAAAAUAUAUGUAAGAUGGAAAUUAGCACUUUUGACCAACAAUUUUAGUUUUAGAUAUUUACCUAUAAGGAUAUAAUAGGAGGUGUUCAAAGAUGCAUGUAACUCAAUGUAGUAUUAAUUAUAAUUGUAAAAUAGUAAAUAACAUUUUUGUCAAAUCAUAAUGUUAGGAAAAUUAGUGAUGGCACAUUUAACCAAUUGAAUUAUAUUCAGUUCUGAAUACCGUGAUGCAUGUUCAAAUUAAUUGAUACAAAAAUCCAACAACUUUAGCAGUUUGUUUACCAGUUAUUGAGUACCAACUGUGUUCAACAUUGUUAUUUCACUCAUAUGAAAUGAUAAAUGUAUGUGCGUGUUAUGAUACGGUCAAUAAAACCACUUUUAUAGGAAGAAUACUCACAAAAU